CCCAGAAAGGUCUUGACAUUGCACUUGACCAUUCGACACCACUGAAUGACAAGAUCUAAUCCCUCAGGGGGAAAAGGGCUGCCUGGAUCAAGCUCUUGAACCUGUUCUACCACAUGCUCAGGACCAUGGAAGGAGGCAUCUGCCAGAGCUACCAGUUCUAGCCCUGCUAAGCUCCAACCUCAUCUAGAGUUCGAGAAAAGUCAUACUGAUAAGGAAACUCCACCGAGACUGAGCCGAAGGAGAGGAGCCAAACACGGUUCCGGAGGGUCUGCAGCGCAGGGAAGGGGUUCCGGUGGAGGAUCAUCUCUUCCAGCUCAGGUAGCAGCUGCACUUCCACCUCCUUGAAGUUGAAGAUACUAUUGCCAUCAAAGCCAGCAGCCAGCUCUGGACAGUAUGCCUGCAGGGAACUUCCAUGCCGGCUCAGUGACACACUCUCUGCAGCCAGGGUAAUGAACUUGUCCUCAGCUACAAAAGCUGUGAGCUUGGCUGUGCUCACCUCCAGGGUUAGGUUUAGCAGCCGCUUUAGGGGUAAUGGCUCAGGGGCACGGCCUUCUAGCUCAGAAGUAGUUCCUGAAGUCUCUAGUGCAAGGGAUGGUACAGUCUCAGGAAACACAGUGGCUCUUAGUAGGUCUCGGCACUGUAGAGUGGCCAGGACAUGCUGGUACAGGUACAUGUGAUCUGGGGGGCUCCAAAGUAAGGUCAGCCCUGCACCACACUGAACCUUUAGGGAGCAGAAGAAAAGGAUCUGUCAAUUACCAUGUCACAAAACAGUAGAGAUGGCAAGGAUUAUGAUACAUGCACACCUGGCUCAAGAACCAUCUCCACCCAGAAGUUGUUCCUGAGUAAUCACAUUAAUUACUGCCUUGCUUUGUUCCUGUUAGCACUAAUGUGCUGAGCUGACAGUUGAUAGUGUCUGACAUUUAAGAGCACUUACACUUUUUAAGUUCUCUUCAACUGGAUUCUAAAUUGUCUGAAAA
rnacentral:lncRNA from 1 species